ACCUGAGGCUGAUUCUGGGUAAUCAGGUUGAGGAUUUAAGCUCCACUCAAACUCUCCUUCGCUGCCAGUUCGUCAACGGUCUCACGUUGGUUUCGGCUCUAAGGUUUUUUUUCCCCACGCGCUUGCUAUUGGUUUUGUCGUUUAUUCUGAUUUCCUGUGCUACAAUUUUCCUGGACCUUCUUUGCCACUGCCUUCAACCCCAGCUCGCCCCGGAUUAUCCUUGCAUUCUGGAACAAUACAAAGGACCUCACCUGCCUGCCCUCCGGCCACCUAUCACCACCUCGGACACAGCGGAACUCAGGUCAGCCAGCCUUUGCAACUACUCACCUGGAUUCUCACCGCCUCUCCCUCAAAGCCAAGUUCACCCUAAUUAUCCGAUAGCUUGUCUCCUGAGGGCCAAACAAGGUAAGAGAGAAAGCAACUCGAGCCUAAACAUACAAAUAAAGGGAGCACACGCAGGUAAAAAUCCGGUAUAGCAAGGUUAGUAAAUGCCAAUCAAAUCAAUACUAGAGAAUAGAGAAAUAAGAAGGCAGCAAAAGGUUCCCAGGCCCAGCUGCCAAUAAAUCUUUGUUCUGCUUUGUUUAUUUGGCUUUGUCAAGUCAUUAGACAGCUUUCUAGAUAGGCUCAUCGGUAAGCGGCUAAAUAGAGGGAGGGAGUAACAGUGCAUGUGUGUCUGACAAAUAGAGAGGGAUAUUUGUGUGUGUCAUAUGUCAGGGUCACCAUUGGUGCCAAUCCAGGUCCUGCAACUUACUGACCCAGAAAUGAAUGACACUAGCACUAAAAGGCUAUCAGCAAACUGCACUCAGUCAUUUGCCAUCAUUGCGAACGACUGCCUGCAUGAUGGUUUAAAUUACCUAAUGGAUGAAAAUGAGAACUCAGGAUGGUCGAGAGAAAGGGAUAGGACGAGGAGAGGGAAGACAGACAAAGAGAGGGGUGAUGCUGGCGGGGUUUGAAACAGCAGCACCAGGAGAGCUGUUAGGCACCGAGGAAAAAAAGAAGAGUCAGCAGACCAGAGAAGCUGUAAAUGAGGGAGUAAUGAAGCCAUGCAGGUGGGGGCAGGUGAUCUAUAAUAAAUGAAGGUGAGAGGGGAGGAGACAAGAGGCUGUUAGCUGGGCUUUGCUUAGCCUAUUAUAAACAGACAGCCAAUCAGAGACUCUCUGACUGACCCUGAUGGAAGGCAGGGAGCAAGAAAGGUUUGGUUUGAUGUUUAAUGAUGUUGCCAGUAUAGGCAUAACACAAAGAAUGCAUGUGCUUUUUUGCAGCCAGAAUCUAGCAUUUUCCUGCUAAUGUAUUUUAUCAGUAUCUGUUUUUGUAGGGUCAUGGCAGGGAGGACAUAAUAAAGGCAAAGUGUCAACAUACUAAAAUCAAUAAGAACUGGGAUUAAAAACCAUUAUGUACAGUUUCAAAUUUCACUGCAGGGUUAAAACAAACAUAUCUGAGCCAUCCUACACAGGUUUUAUUUUUACUGACCUUGUAUAUUACUCAAUUUUUGUUUGUUCAAUAUCUGCUUUUGUCUCUUUACUAACAGCUGGCAUUGCUGGCUAUAGUAAAAAUACAGUAAACACAAAGUGUAUAAGCCCUAUCAGUUUACAACUCAAAUCCAAAAAAAUCAGAUUAAACAUAGCAGCAUGUGGUCCAUGAAGACUGCCCCUUCAGCAUUAAACCUGCAAAUAUCAUAACCAGCAGGGGCCAACUCCUCUGCUUGCAAAAAUACGUCGACUUGUAUAGAAACCUAUGAGCAAAGGCCCUACUUUUCUUCUACUUCUUGAUUUAUUACCUCAGUAAACAUUUUCCUAAUGAGUUUAUGGUCUCAGUUGGUAAUUUCAAGCCUUCUUCAUUACAGGAUAUUUUUUAUUCUAUAAAUAAUGGUCACACUGAGGGUAAAAUAGACGAUAUAGAAGGGUAUGCUUUGUCCUCCAUCUGUUUCUGGGUUCCCAUCAGACCUAUUCCUUGCUGUUUUUCUUCUUCAAAAAAAUCAAGAUACUGAGAUUAAAUCUAAAGAAACCUAAGCUUUAAAACUGAAGUACACAGACCAACGGGUGAGGUCACAGUGACUACAUUCACCUUUUAUCUCCCCGUCCCAUAUGAAUCAGACAACUCAGUGGAGUGGACUGAUUCAAAUGUCUGGACCCAGGCAACAUGCCAUCCAUGUGCACGACAUACUGAAAUAUUCUUUUCUAGUGUCUGUUUCAUGAUAUCAGCUUUUGGUAUAGCUGUUUUAGUUUUGGCCCUUGGGAUUGUCUUGUCACACAGAUAUGGUCAUGGAGGUCGCGAAUGACAAUUGCGCAAUGUAUCGACUUUGAGUGUGUUCCUGUAUGUUAUGUUCAUGAAAUAGGCUUUUAUAAGAAGGACAUCAUGACCAUGAGAUAUUAAGUUAAAAUGCCUUUGCCUGGAGGCCAGAAUCAGGCAGUAAGGCUAAACUUUUAACUGUGGACUGGACCUUCGUCUCGUUUCCUGUUUUUUCUCCUUAUGUUCAGCACUGUAAUUUCUUUUGCCUUUAGUAUUUAUAGAGUUCUGUUUUCAUGUUUAGACUUUGUUUAAAUUGGAUUUACUUCAGCAUUAAAGCUUUUUUGUUUAAGUCAAUCAGCCUUUAACUUCCUCCAUUUGCGUCCUAACCUUUUUUUGACAGUUGUGAAUUAUGGAAAUGUUAUGUUUUGGGAUGUUUCAUCAGCAAACCAGUUUACCAGAUUUGUUUUUGUCAAAUUCAAAAAGUAAGGCAUGUGAACUCCAUUUGAACAGCAUUAUUUGUGAAAUCAUAUUUUAGCUGUGUUUCUACCGCCAGCCCUUCUCCAAUCUGCUGACAGUUCUCCCCCUUCUGAUCAAAGGAGUGUGAUCAAAGAAAAUCACAUCGUGUAUAUAAAUAUUAUACUACAAAUAAAAUUAACUCAAACACGAGACACUGCCAUACAGAUUUUCUUCAUAUUUUGCAUUACAGUGGGGUGAGCUGAUAUUAUUCUAAACCUUUGUCAAUGAGGCCUAACAGCAUAUUGAUGAUGCAUAAUUGUAACAUUUCCAUUAAAACAAAAUGAUCAAGAAUGCAUUUCCCUCAUCAUGUGAGUGCUUCUAAGUAAAAGGCUCAGUCAAGUGUGGCCAAAACUCUGUUUUCUUUACUGACAUUCUGGCACACUGCUUCAGAAACAAUUUCAAACAACUGCAUGAUUUGACCAAAGACUGUAUCCUGGGACCGAAUUACAAACUUAUAUGGGAGCCACUAAGCUUCAACAGCACCAUCAGCACUGAUACCAGUGACUUUUUCUUCUCUAGAGAACACAAUAUCUUUAGUCUUCUUCAUUUCUUUGUACAUCUAGAACCUAUGCUAUCACUUCCUCUUGAAAAGGUGCCAUGUCAUCCAAGCAAGCAACCAAAAAGGGAGCAGAACUUCUGCACUGCCGACAUGCUGUACGGUUUUGAAAACUGACUGACUGACUGUAGAGAUGACUGUUUGGUGAAAAAGCCUGAAGUAAAUGUGUCUGCCAUGGUCCAGAAGGCUGAGAUGAAACACAAGCUUUAAAUCCAGGGAGCAUGCACAAAAACAGUAGCCUUUCUUCACCAGCUCAUCAUUAUUUGCAAUCACUGUAGUGUGUGACUUCUACAAAUCGCAAGUGUCAGUGCAGGGAACCAGAGAGACGAUGCCUCCAACUGUUUUUUCACUGCAGAAGUCUCAUCUACGGACACUCCAGUGUCUCUGAUGAGGUGGAGGGCAGGAAAGCGAUGACAGAAACAAUCUGAUAAACGGCUGAGAGCUCAUUCAGUCCAGGGGGGCCUUUAAAGAGUUGCCAGUCAACAGGGAAGCAGUACUAUCUGUGAAGCUCGGCUACUGGACAGCAAACACACACCGCGUAGAGGCCCAGCAGUGAUCUGUCUGCUGAAGCGUUUCCAAACGCCUCUCUCAGUCUGCCACUCUGCAUAAUCAAGCCUCCAAACACAGCAUGCCGUUCCGGCUCCCUUGGCUUGGCUUUAUCUGAAAAGACAGCAUGUGUAGAUAGACCAGCGCAGAGAACAAUUUGUACAAUUGGUGGCAAGAAAAUGAGUGUAUAUAUUUCAGCCUAAAGGCCUGGUGUCCACCUGCAGGGUCCCUCAUGUAUUUGGAAUAUUGAGGCACUUGGUUCUUUUCAUCUCGUCACUUCACAAUCUCUAAUUAUCUCGUGCAUAUCAUUUAACUCCAGCCCUCUUUUUACACUUUUCUUGCAUGACACCUUUUUUUCUUUUCUCCAACCUCCUGCAAUUCCUGCUGCUAAUUUAAGCAUGUUGAGUGCCUUACAUUGUACUACAUAAAUUCCCUAAUAGCCACACUGCCAACCACAAAAUGUUAUAUAUCUGUGAUGUGAUGGCUACUUGAAUAGUGAAAAAUAAACAAUCAACUAUGUCAUAAACCAUCAAGAAUUUCACAUACUCAUCUACCUUAACUUAUAAAAAACUUUAUACAGCAGCAGAACUACUCUUAUAUUAGGCAUCCUCAGCUGCAUUUUAUCUAGAACCAAAUAAUCUUGCUCCACUAGUUUCCAUAGAAAGAGGCAGGCAUAAUAAUCACAGCCUCUGAUGCAUAUUUUAGCAUGGAAAAGCACGCCGGGGGCAAUAUGAAUUUGCUUCUUUUUCAUGUUGAUCUUUCUCUUGUCUUCUGGAGUCAAAUGAAACAAAAGAGCAGCCAAGCUGCUGUUUAGUGCCUUCAUUAUGGUGAUGUCGUAAAAGAAACUGUGAUCGUGUUGCUACAGUAAUGUAUAAUGUCAGCUAUCAUAUACAUCUGUGUAAAUGUUGAAUUUUAAAAGCUAAAACAUUUGCUCACAUUUGUUUUGCAAAAACAAAUCAUGUAAUUUCUAAGCAUUCAUACGGGUUAAUGAUUCAAACAGAAUCAUGAGACUAUGAACUGCUUGGAUGUGUGUUAAAACGGUUUCAGGGGAAAUUUGCAACAAUUUUGCUGACUUUCAGAUACAACUGUCUGUUCGAGACAUUUCUCAUAAAGCUGACUGUUCUGGAUUUCAACAGUAUUACCUGUCAUUGUCUAUCAGCUCCCAAUAUGAUGUCUUACUUUUACUUUCAGUAUUGAAAUAAAACUCAACUUAAAAUAAACCAUCUGAACAGGGACAUUUUCCAUAACUCAUUUUGUUCAAGUUACUGCCUUGCAUCCUAGGUAUGUGUUUGUGCCAGCAGAUGGAGAAAGCCUACUGGUGGUGUCUACCAAGAUCUGUAUUUAAAUAAUGGACUGAGCUGAGCAGCAUUUGUGUCCAUAUGGUUGCCUCCAGUUCCUCUGUAAUGAUCUUGCUGAAGAAUAAAUAUCAGGAUUUGCAGACA